rnacentral:tRNA from 1 species
UGGCUCAAUGGUAGAGUGCUUGCCUUGUAUGCAUGAGGUCCUAGGUUUGAUUCCUUA